rnacentral:rRNA from 1 species
AUCCUGGCUCAGAUUGAACGCUGGCGGCAUGCCUUACACAUGCAAGUCGAACGGCAGGCACGGGGCAACCUGGUGGCGAGUGGCGAACGGGUGAGUAAUGCAUCGGAACGUGCCAUUGAGUGGGGGAUAACGUAGCGAAAGUUGCGCUAAUACCGCAUAUUCUGUGAGCAGGAAAGCAGGGGACCGCAAGGCCUUGCGCUCUUUGAGCGGCCGAUGUCAGAUUAGCUAGUUGGUGAGGUAACGGCUUACCAAGGCGACGAUCUGUAGCGGGUCUGAGAGGAUGAUCCGCCACACUGGAACUGAGACACGGUCCAGACUCCUACGGGAGGCAGCAGUGGGGAAUUUUGGACAAUGGGCGCAAGCCUGAUCCAGCCAUGCCGCGUGAGUGAAGAAGGCCUUCGGGUUGUAAAGCUCUUUCGGCCGGGAAGAAAUCGCAUGGGUUAAUACCCUGUGUGGAUGACGGUACCGGAAUAAGAAGCACCGGCUAACUACGUG